GGGUCCAUAGUUUAAUGGUAGAACGAGGGCCUCCAAAUCCCUUGGUCGAGGUUCGAUUCCUCGUGGGCCCG
rnacentral:tRNA from 1 species